rnacentral:rRNA from 1 species
UACAGAGGCCUCGAGCGUUAGGCGGAAUCACUGGGCUUAAAGCGUGUGUAGGCGGAUUGGUAAGUACCUUGUGAAAUCCCACAGCUUAACUGUGGAACUGCUCGGUAUACUGCUGAUCUUGAGCCACUCAGGGGCUACCGGAACAAAUGGUGGAGCGGUGAAAUGCGUAGAUAUCAUUUGGAACGCCAAUGGCGAAAACAGGUAGCUGGGGGUGUGCUGACGCUGAGACACGAAAGCCAGGGGAGCAAACGGG